GCCAGCAGCCAUAUCACCCUGCAGCUCUCAACUGGCAGCCCAAUGAAGCUACAGUAAGUAGGGUUGAGCCUGGUCAGUAGUUGGAUGAGAGACCUUCUGGGAAGCAAUGGUUGCUGCUGGAA
rnacentral:rRNA from 1 species